GCUUUCCUGUGGCUCAGUUGGUAGAGCAUUGCACCAACGACAUAAUUGUGUUGGUUCAAAUCCCAGGGAAAGCA